rnacentral:rRNA from 1 species
AACGAACGCUGGCGGCAUGCCUAACACAUGCAAGUCGAACGAGACCGUCGGGUCUAGUGGCGCACGGGUGCGUAACGCGGGGGAACCUGCCCUUAGGUUCGGAAUAACUCCCCGAAAGGGGUGCUAAUACAGGAUAAUGUCUUCGGACCAAAGAUUUAUCGCCUUUGGAUGGGGCCGCGUUGGAUUAGCUAGUUGGUAGGGUAAAAGCCUACCAAGGCGACGAUCCAUAGCUGGUCUGAGAGGAUGAUCAGCCACACUGGGACUGAGACACGGCCCAGACUGCGACGGAGGGCAGCAGUGGGGAAUAUUGGACAAUGGGCGAAAGCCUGAUCCAGCAAUGCCGCGUGAGUGAUGAAGGCCUUAGGGUUGUAAAGCUCUUUUACCCGGGAUGAUAAUGACAGUACCGGGAGAAUAAGCUCCGGCUAACUCCGUG